AAAAGGCACCUCGCUAAAACAAUUGUCUCUGGGAUGUUUUCUCUUCAGGUUUUUCAGUUGUUUCUGAGUCCUGGUUGUAGAACUGUUCAUAUCAUCUUUGGGAUCCCUUGCAGCUGAAGCAGAAAUUACAUGCUUCUCAGCAGAAGGCAACUCUGUUCCUGACUCACUGCGGAGGCUUUGCUGACCCAAGCGGAGGCAGAGAAAUACCUUGCAGAAGUUCAAGCCCAGGAGCAGCAAUGUUGAGCACAAAAGGAGAUGAGAACGAUAUUUAAAAGAUGAAACGCUGCAGCUGAAGAGAAGGCACUUGUGACUGACAACUAAAUUUCUUCUCCACAGCCUGCCAUCAAACCCCCAUCUGGAAUUUUAGAGAUGACAAAAGGGAGCUUUCUUUGCCAUUGUAGUUAAUAGCAAUGUGACUGCUCUUAGCACAAGUGGAAAAGAAUCACUUUGAAAGUAAGAUGAAGGUAGACAGAAUAACUAUGGUGAGAGAAAUCAUCAUACAAGAAAAUAGACAUCUGACGCAUGAAAGGAAUUAAAUGAAGCACCAGCUGAAAGAAGGAAUGAAGGGAAGUUCUAAAUUGAAAGAAAAAGAAGUAUCUCAACGAUGCAAAGAGGCAGCACUGAAGAGGCUUUAGAGAAAGUUACCAUGCCUAAGUAUGAGGCCAAAAGGGGGAAUGUUUACUGGAAUGUGACAGAAGAGAAGAGGAGAGAAUGUGAGUUAUGGAUGAACACACAAUGUUCCUGAGAUCUCAAGAGGAGAAAACAGACAGAUAAAAUAAAUUAG